rnacentral:rRNA from 1 species
CAGUCGCCACGGUAACACGGAGGGUGCGAGCGUUACCCGGAAUCACUGGGCGUAAAGGGCGCGUAGGCGGCAUGUUAAGUCUGGUUUUAAAGACAGGGGCUUAACCCCUGGAGUGGACUGGAUACUGGCACGCUUGACCUCUGGAGAGGUAACUGGAAUUUCUGGUGUAGCGGUGGAAUGCGUAGAUACCAGAAGGAACACCAAUGGCGAAGGCAAGUUACUGGACAGAAGGUGACGCUGAGGCGCGAAAGUGUGGGGAGCGAACCGGAUUAGAUACCCCAGUAGUCCCUGUCUCUUAUAC